GACGAACGCUGGCGGCGUGCUUAACACAUGCAAGUCGAACGGUGAAGCGAGUGCUUGCACUCGUGGAUCAGCGGCGAACGGGUGAGUAACACGUGAGUAACCUGCCCAUCACUCUGGGAUAAGCACUGGAAACGGUGUCUAAUACUGGAUACGACCAACCCUUGCAUGGGGUGUUGGUGGAAAGAUUUAUCGGUGAUGGAUGGACUCGCGGCCUAUCAGCUUGUUGGCGGGGUAAUGGCCCACCAAGGCGACGACGGGUAGCCGGCCUGAGAGGGUGACCGGCCACACUGGGACUGAGACACGGCCCAGACUCCUACGGGAGGCAGCAGUGGGGAAUAUUGCACAAUGGGCGAAAGCCUGAUGCAGCGACGCCGCGUGAGGGAUGACGGCCUUCGGGUUGUAAACCUCUUUCAGCAGGGAAGAAGCGAAAGUGACGGUACCUGCAGAAGAAGCACCGGCUAACUACGUG
rnacentral:rRNA from 1 species